AUGAACGCUGGCGGCGUGCCUAAUACAUGCAAGUCGAGCGAACAGACGAGGAGCUUGCUCCUCUGACGUUAGCGGCGGACGGGUGAGUAACACGUGGAUAACCUACCUAUAAGACUGGGAUAACUUCGGGAAACCGGAGCUAAUACCGGAUAAUAUAUUGAACCGCAUGGUUCAAUAGUGAAAGACGGUUUUGCUGUCACUUAUAGAUGGAUCCGCGCCGCAUUAGCUAGUUGGUAAGGUAACGGCUUACCAAGGCGACGAUGCGUAGCCGACCUGAGAGGGUGAUCGGCCACACUGGAACUGAGACACGGUCCAGACUCCUACGGGAGGCAGCAGUAGGGAAUCUUCCGCAAUGGGCGAAAGCUUGACGGAGCAACGCCGCGUGAGUGAUGAAGGUCUUCGGAUCGUAAAACUCUGUUAUUAGGGAAGAACAAAUGUGAAAGUAACUAUGCACGUCUUGACGGUACCUAAUCAGAAAGCCACGGCUAACUACGUG
rnacentral:rRNA from 1 species